rnacentral:rRNA from 1 species
UACAGAGGGUGCAAGCGUUGCUCGGAAUUACUGGGCGUAAAGGAUGCGUAGGCGGACAUUUAAGUCAGAUGUGAAAUACCCGAGCUUAACUUGGGUGCUGCAUUUGAAACUGGGUGUCUAGAGUGCAGGAGAGGUAAGUGGAAUUCCUAGUGUAGCGGUGAAAUGCGUAGAGAUUAGGAAGAACACCAGUGGCGAAGGUGACUUACUGGACUGUAACUGACGCUGAGGCAUGAAAGCGUGGGGAGCAAACAGG